rnacentral:lncRNA from 1 species
AGAUCUCUCUCAGAGCAGCUACAGUAGGCCAACGAUAAUCAUAUUUUAAGGGAAUAAAAGAGAAGAGAGAAUAACAAUAUGCUAUAAAUUUAUAGUCAGCUGUAGCACGGACUUCAAGAUACAGUAUGACAGGUGAAAUAAGAUAAUAUAUAUAUUUUAUAGGUAACUAUUAUAUGAAUUGACUAUUAGAUUGAUUAUAAAUGAUUGAAGAUAGCGGUUGGCUAAACUUGCUAGGUAGGUAGGUAGGUAGGUAGGUAGCCAUGGAAGCAAGUG